AGGCGCUUAAUGUACAGAAGGACCAUCGGUGCAUUGCACAAUUCCAGAAGUGUCACAAAGCCACUCUAAGACUGUGACUGUGAAGGUUACUUCAAUGGACAAUACAUAGCUGGCUUGCGCCGAAGUUUCCGACUGAGCCGGAAGGAGAAGCAGAAUGGUCCAAAUGAAGCCAAGCAAGCUGAACAGAUCUCCAUCCCAGAGCUUCUCACAUAUGAGGAAGUCACCAAAUAUCAGCAGCAGCCUGGUGAAAGGAAGAGGCUGGUGGUUUUAAUUGGUUCGUUGGGGUCCCGGUUAAAUGAGCUCAAGCAGAAAGUAGUGGCAGAAAAUCCACAAGAAUAU